rnacentral:rRNA from 1 species
UACGGGGGGGGCAAGCGUUGUUCGGAAUUACUGGGCGUAAAGGGCUCGUAGGCGGCCAACUAAGUCAGACGUGAAAUCCCUCGGCUUAACCGGGGAACUGCGUCUGAUACUGGAUGGCUUGAGUUCGGGAGAGGGAUGCGGAAUUCCAGGUGUAGCGGUGAAAUGCGUAGAUAUCUGGAGGAACACCGGUGGCGAAGGCGGCAUCCUGGACCGAUACUGACGCUGAGGUGCGAAAGCGUGGGGAGCAAACAGG